UACGUAGGGUGCAAGCGUUGUCCGGAAUUAUUGGGCGUAAAGAGCUCGUAGGCGGUUUGUUGCGUCGGCUGUGAAAUCCCGAGGCUCAACCUCGGGUCUGCAGUCGAUACGAGCAAACUAGAGUGUUGCAGGGGAGACUGGAAUUCCUGGUGUAGCGGUGAAAUGCGCAGAUAUCAGGAGGAACACCGGUGGCGAAGGCGGGUCUCUGGGCAACAACUGACGCUGAGACGCGAAAGCGUGGGUAGCAAACAGG
rnacentral:rRNA from 1 species